GUCAGGAUGACCAUUGGGUCUAAGGCGCUGCGUUCGGAUCGCAGUCUCCCCUGGAGGCGUGGGUUUGAAUCCCACUUCUGACA
rnacentral:tRNA from 1 species